rnacentral:lncRNA from 1 species
CCUCUGCUGCUUUGGAACAGAUCACCACUGCAAGAGAGGAAGCUGCUACUGUGAUGAAUUCUGCCACGAGGUGUCAGACUGCUGCCCAGACCACCGCACCCUGUGCACCCUGGAUAACUCACAUGCAGGCUCCUUCCCACCCCUGGCGGAGCCGGAUGCUGUGAUGGACAGAGGCAAGCCCCUUGCUUGUACUUCAGGCCAAGGCCAGGAUGUGGACUGGAUGCCUCCUGAGGGCCCUGAUAAUCCUGAGAUCCUCACAUUUGGUCCAUUUCGUACCAAAAGUGCCCACAUAUUCCUCCCAGCUUUGUUUCCCCACUGCUCCUGACCACCUGCUGCUCCCCUCUGAGCUCCUUUCCCAGAUCCCCACAGGGAGAGGCUAAGCUGUUGGUGGUUGGGGAUCAGGGUGGCGAGUGAGGUGGUUGGGUCACCUAACUGCCCCCGCAUCUCUUGCAACAUAGAUGCCUCUUGACCUGACCCAUGUAGACUUUUGAGGGAAGACAGGAGUCUGCAGAGAGGUGCUAGGGAUGUUACAUAGGAGGAGGGAGACUGGGAGUCAGGGAGGAGGCCAGGAGCUUUUGCUUUGUGUUUCUCAGCUUCUCAGAAUACCAAGAUGGUGCUGCAGAUGGUGCUGAGGAGGGAGACCCCCCCGAGCCCUGCAAGAAGCAACCUAGACUGGAUACAGAAUGUGGUGAGUACCCUGGUGGUUCUCCCGGAAGGGGUGCUGACAACCUGCUCCUGCCUCCCUGGCCUGUAGACCCCAGAGUCAGGGAACCACUACCAAGGGGGGAAAGAGACCUGAGCUGGGGCACAGCUCCACGGUUUUAGGGCUAGGAGCCAUGGUAUCUGACCAUGGACACUGACACCUGAAUUUCAUAUAAUUUUCAUGUGUCAUGACAUAUUCUUUUGACUUUUUUCAACCACUUAAAAUAUAAAAAACAUUCUUAACUUGUGAUCUGCACACACACACACACACACACACACACACACACACACACAAACCUGCAACAAGUCAGACUUGGCCCACGGAUUGUGGUUGGCUGCUCUCUGCCCUAAAUCAUCCUUUGUUCUUUACUUUUCGUUUGGGUCGU